rnacentral:rRNA from 1 species
UGGGGAAUAUUGCACAAUGGGCGCAAGCCUGAUGCAGCCAUGCCGCGUGUAUGAAGAAGGCCUUCGGGUUGUAAAGUACUUUCAGCGGGGAGGAAGGGAGUAAAGUUAAUACCUUUGCUCAUUGACGUUACCCGCAGAAGAAGCACCGGCUAACUCCGUGCCAGCAGCCGCGGUAAUACGGAGGGUGCAAGCGUUCAUCGGAAUUACUGGGCGUAAUGCGCACGCAGGCGGUUUGUUAAGUCAGAUGUGGACUCCCCGGGCUCAACCUGGGAACUGCAUCUGAUACUGGCAAGCUUGAGUCUCGUAGAGGGGGGUAGAAUUCCAGGUGUAGCGAUGAAAUGCGUAGAGAUCUGGAGGAAUACCGGUGGCGAGGGCGGCCCCCUGGACGAAGACUGACGCUCAGGUGCGAAAGCGUGGGGAGCAAACAGG